UAGGGAAUUUUCGUCAAUGGGCGCAAGCCUGAACGAGCGAUGCCGCGUGAGUGAAGAAGGCCUUCGGGUCGUAAAGCUCUGUUGCGGGGGAAAAAAGGCAGCAUCAGGAAAUGGGUGCUGACUGAUGGUGCCCCGCCAGAAAGUCACGGCUAACUCCGUGCC
rnacentral:rRNA from 1 species